rnacentral:rRNA from 1 species
UACCUGCAGUCGACGCGAAAGCCCCGCAAGGGGUAAGUAGAGUGGCAAACGGGUGAGUAACACGUGGGUGACCUGCCUUCGAGUGGGGGAUAACGUCCCGAAAGGGACGCUAAUACCGCAUGACAUCCUGCCUUUGGAAAGGCGGAGAUCAAAGCCGGGGAUCGCAAGACCUGGCGCUUGAAGAGGGGCCCGCGCCUGAUUAGCUAGUUGGUAGGGUAACGGCCUACCAAGGCGACGAUCAGUAUCCGGCCUGAGAGGGCGGACGGACACACUGGGACUGAGACACGGCCCAGACUCCUACGGGAGGCAGCAGUGGGGAAUUGUUCGCAAUGGGCGCAAGCCUGACGACGCAACGCCGCGUGGAGGACGAAGAUCUUCGGGUCGUAAACUCCUGUCGAGCGGGACGAACACCCAUCCGGUGAAUAUCCGGGAGGGCUGACGGUACCGCUAAAGGAAGCCCCGGCUAACUCCGUGCCAGCAGCCGCGGUAAUACGGGGGGGGCAAGCGUUGUUCGGAAUUACUGGGCGUAAAGGGCUCGUAGGCGGCCAACUAAGUCCGACGUGAAAUCCCCAGGCUUAACCUGGGAACUGCGUCGGAUACUGGAUGGCUUGAAUUCGGGAGAGGGAUGCAGAAUUCCAGGUGUAGCGGUGAAAUGCGUAGAUAUCUGGAGGAAUACCGGUGGCGAAGGCGGCAUCCUGGACCGACAUUGACGCUGAGGAGCGAAAGCUAGGGGAGCAAACGGGAUUAGAUACCCCGGUAGUCCUAGCCCUAAACGAUGAAUGCUUGGUGUGGCGGGUAUCGAUCCCUGCCGUGCCGAAGCUAACGCAUUAAGCAUUCCGCCUGGGGAGUAC